AUACGUAGGGUGCGAGCGUUGUCCGGAAUUACUGGGCGUAAAGAGCUCGUAGGUGGUUUGUCGCGUCGUCUGUGAAAUUCCGGGGCUUAACUCCGGGCGUGCAGGCGAUACGGGCAUAACUUGAGUACUGUAGGGGAGACUGGAAUUCCUGGUGUAGCGGUGAAAUGCGCAGAUAUCAGGAGGAACACCGGUGGCGAAGGCGGGUCUCUGGGCAGUAACUGACGCUGAGGAGCGAAAGCAUGGGUAGCGAACAGGAUUAGAUACCCUGGUAGUCCAUGCCGUAAACGGUGGGCGCUAGGUGUAGGGGUCUUCCACGACUUCUGUGCCGUAGCUAACGCAUUAAGCGCCCCGCCUGGGGAGUACGGCCGCAAGGCUAAAACUCAAAUGAAUAGGCGGGG
rnacentral:rRNA from 1 species